AUUUUAGUAGCUUAGUGGUUGGAGUUUUAGUCUCCAACUCUAAGGUACUUGGGUUUGAAUCACGACAAAUA